GGGCAGUUCCAAGGGUCUGAGUAAGCUAACAAGCUAAAUGCAUCCUGAAGCAUCUUUUUGUGCAUUGUGUUCUUCCCGUAUUCUCUGCACAGCUGUUCACUCAGCAUCUGCAGCUCCCGUCCAAACUGGAUCAUUCGCUCGGUGGCAGCAUGGUUCCCUCCACAGAGCUGCCUCUGGGGACAGCUGUCUUCUAGAAGAAAGGCAGGGGAGAAGGAACAGUUGUC
rnacentral:lncRNA from 1 species